UUGACUGAGUUUCCUUUCGGAAAAAGCGAGUUAAAAUGGCAUGGUUUUCAAAUACAAGUUUCCUGGGAAAGUAAUUUUCAAGGACCACUUCCGAUUUGGACCGCGUUGGGCUCCAUAGCAACCCUGGGCGUUGACUGGCACGUGAUCUCGGUAUCCUGUGCAGUUCAGGGAAAGCGUACCAAAAAAAUUCCUGCCAAACGAGGGAAGCUGAUGUUUGGAGGUGGGAGUUCACCAGAAUACAGUUUCUUAUUUCCGUAGAUAAACUUACUUUUGUAACCUGACAUUAUAUUGUGAUUCCUGCUCAUAAAAUUUAGAAUAGAACGUUUGAUUUAUUAGAAAUAGAGAAAAACAAGAUGGAGUCACAGUGGCCAAUGUGGCAUCCAUCUUGAUUGUUCUUAAAGGUCUGAUGUUAAGACUUUGAGUAUGUAAGUUACGAUAACUGGAGUGUGAAGUUAGCCUAGGUUCCAUCCCGCACCAUGGGGGGGCCCUGUGCAUAUCGUGGAGGCCCAUCCCACAAGUGCAAGUUGUCGUCACUCACUCUCCUGUGAGCAGUCACCCCCUGACACACCUAAAAGGAGGACAGACACAGGGAAGAGACCCACUCAGUCAGGAAAAAGGAUCAGAAAGAGUUCAUAUUCGCACAAAAUGAAUAUCAGCAAGCAUUUGCAGUUUUGCAGGGCUAUGCUCACUCUUCAACCCCCCGUCAUAACACAGUCUGAAGAGGACUGGAGCACGUGGACAGCCUACGUAACCACACAUUGACCCAUUACGUCAACGAUAUGCUGCUCAGGCAGGAUGAGGAAGUGGUGAAGCGCACGCUAGAAGCUCCAGGCAGUGGCAGAGAAAUCCUAUGAAGAUUCAGUGACCUGCCACUUCUCUAAGGAUUCUGAAAGUCUGAUGGCCAGCAGCGUGCUGGGACAUGUCCUCCUAAUUAAAGACAACUUUCUGCACCUGGCAUCCCUUACUGGAAGAAAGGAAGCACAAAGCCCAUUAGGCUUCUUUAAGUUCUUGAAGAAACACAUUCUACACCAAAGAAAACUACCCCCACAUACUGGGCUGCAGGGAAGUCUGCCAGCUUUGCGUGGACCCGGAGAGGGAAAAAUAACGCUGCAGUAUGUCCAGCCUGUGAUAUCAACAGCACUGCUGCCUGGACCUCACAAUCUGGCAGGUCCUAUAGUGUUGGAGUGUCAGCGAUGGAACAAUAUGUCGUGUGGCAUUUAUGGCAAGUCUCAAUAAAAGAAUCACAAAGAAGACCCCUGGGAUUAUGGAACAAGGUAAUGCCAACUGCUGGGAAGAAUUACUCCUUUUGAAAAACAGCUCCUAGCUUGCUACUGGGCCUUGGUAGAGAUACUAAGUGACCUUGGGCUCAGAUUGGCCAUCACGAGCUAGGUCCUACUGGACAGAUCAGUUUAUACAGGCAGACCCAGCAUCAGAGUCAUCAUAGGAUAAAACAGGUGCAUCUGGGACUAAGCAUAAGCAGGACCAGGAGGUACAAGAAGCUGUAAGAGCAUGUAGCCCAGAUCUCCAUGUCACUCAUUACGGUUGCACUGGCCCCCCUCCCCCAGCCUAGACCUGUGGCUGUGUGAGGGGGAUCCCACAUAACCAGCAAAAGGAAGAAGAAGAAGAAUACACUGGGCUCAUUGGUGGGUCACUUCAGUAUGUGGGUACAAGCUGAAAACGGGUGGUGGCUGUAUUACAGUCUCGCUCAGAGGAGGCCUUGAAAAACAGUGAUGAAGGAAAAUCUCACCAACAGGAGGAGCUUUGAGGUGUGCACCUGGUCAUCCACUUGGUGCGGAAGGAGAAUGGACCAAGGUUACAACAAAUGUGGACUCAUGCACAGUGAUGAGUGGCCUGGCUGGUGGGCGGAGGACCUGAAGAAAAAGACUGUAAAAUCAGAAACAAGAAGAUUUGAAGUAGAGGCAUGUGGAUGAACAUAGGGGAGUGGACACAAAGUGGGAAGUUGGUUGUCUCACAUGUUAAGGCCCACAAGUAAGCAUCUAUCAUGAAAGGUGUGCCAACUAGACAAAAUAAUAUGGCUGGUUAAUGCAGCCAGCCUUGGUCAGAGCCCCUCUCUCACCACUGCUGCAUGCUGGGAACCUGAACAAAGAGGCUAGGGUGGCAGAGAUGGAGGCAAUAAAAAAACCUAACAGCUUGGACUGUCAUUUACCAAAAUGAAUACAGCUACUGCCACCUCUAAAUGUCCAGUCUGCCCGCCAUAAAGGCAAAUGCUAAGCUCUAUUCCUUAAUAGGAUACUCGGUGACCAGUUGACUACAUUGGGCCUUGUUUUUUUUUCCUGGAAGAGCCAGAGGUAUGCUCUUUCAGGAACUGACACUGAUUCCAGGUACAGGAUUGCUUUUCCUGCCUGCAGGACCUCAGUAGCCCCAGUCUCUGGGGACUUACAGAUUGCCUGAUCCACAGACAUGGAAUCCCACAUAAUACAGCAUCUGACCAGAAGCCUCUCUCCUUCACAGGAAAUAGGGGAGUGAGCCCACGAACAUGGGAUCUGCUGGUCUUAUCACACACCCAGUGACCUUGAAGUUACUGGAUAGACAAAAUAUUGGAAUGACUAGUUAAAGAUGCAGCUGAAGCUCCAGCAGGAGGCAACACAUUGCAAUGAUGACACUUCCUCCAGGACAUCAUGGUAUAUUCUUUCAAUCAGAUAGAUUAGUAUGGUGCUGUGUCUGCAACAGAAUCUUAAGUUUUUAAAAUAUUUAUUAUUAUUAUUUUUAAUGAAGGUACUGGGGAUUGAAUCCAGGGCCUUGUGCAUGCUAAAUAUGUGCUCUUCCACUGAGCUACUUCACUCACCCCCUCCAUCCCAACCAAUAGAAAGAAUACAUGUGUCUUCCACAAUGAGUGGGAGUAUGAGUGGCUCCAGUUAGCAUCAUUCCAAUGACCUAUUGGGGAGGGAGAAAUUUUCCUCUACCCUCCUGGCUGGUCUAAGAAUUAAAUUGACAUGAGACAGAUUAACAGGAGAAAAAUCAAAGUUUAAUAACAUAUAUACUUGGGAGAGACCCAGGAAAACUGAGUAACUCCUCAAAAUGGCUGAAACCCUCACUUUGAAUAACAUCCUCAGCUAAGGACAAAAGAGGGUGUUGGGAGUAGUGGUUUGGGACUUCGAGGGGGAGGAAGGCAAUCCACAUACAGGUGGAAAAGCAAAUAUUUGGUAAAUAAAUGUUUGCUGGGUCAUGCAGAGACAAUGGGAUGUGGAGUGGACUCUAAUCUCUAGACCCUGUUUAGAGUUUGCCCCACCAUAGCGAGCCCACGUUCUUUGCAGGUGUCUCUGGUGAUAGCUCUAUUCUGGGAACAGGCCCUCUAUCUAAAUUUUUUUUAGGCAAUUAGGGGGAAGGUCAUGUUACAGAAAUGACAGGCCAGCCAAGAGACAAGCACCACUCGGAGGGCUGGAGUACUCAGGUUUAUUAUGCCGGCGGGCUCAGUGGGGCUAUUGCUCUGGGGCUCUGAGCACUUCUAACACGUGUGCAUGAGGUUUUAUAGGGUAGAUUACAAGCUUGGGGUAUAUUGGACAAUAAGGUGCAAAGAGCUUAGCAACAUCACAAAAGGGAAGCAGGGAAUCAGUAAACUAGAACUUAUCUAAUAAGAACAGAUCAGUUACCGACACUAAUUAAACUUAGAUUUACGAGUUAGCCCAGCAGAACUCAGGUCAGUAAUCCGACACGUCUUAAACUCAGAUUUACGAGUAGGCCCAGCCCGGCUUUUCCUUCUCAGUCAAAGUUUCUUCCUGAGUCUUUUGGGCUUUGAUUAUUUUCAGCUCAAAAUGAUCUGCACAACAAAGAGACAUUUUAGGGUGGCAAGUUUUGCUCCCCUACAAACCCACUGGCCUUCCCUGUCCCCAAAAGUCUCAGCUCUGCAAAAUUAGGGGUCUUAGUCCCGGAAAGGGGCACUUUCUUGCCUGGGGACACAGAAAGAUCCCACUGGACUACAAGCUAUGGCUGCCACCAAUCACUUUGGCCUCCUAAUGGUGAGAGACCAGCAGGUAAGACAGGGAAUCAUUGUCUUACACAAGGUGAUUGACCUGUUCAGCAGGAGGAGGUAGGACUGCUGUUAGAGGGGAUGGGGAGGAAUAUGUGUGAACUCCAGUGAGAUUGGAGAGUCAGUUGGUAUUCCUUUGCCCCGCCAUGUCUGUGAACGGACAAGACAAGAGCAGCAGCCAUGCUCUGAGAAGGUUCUCAGACCUCUAAGGAAUGAGGAUUUGGGGUACCCACCCAGGUGAGCUACCAAGACCCCCUUAGGGUGAGGGGAAUUAGAAAUGGUUUGGGGGAUUGAGCCAAGAUGGUGGAGUAGAGAAACUCACAGCUCACCCUCUCCCACAAAUACACCAAGAAUUACAUCUACAAACCCAAUGAGUCGCACACAACACCUACUGAAUUCUGGCAGAGUGUCUCUUAUUUCAAAAUACAGGAUUAUCACAAAAUCAAGUGAGAAAAAAAAAGAAAAAAAUCGGUGCAGGACUGGUCCUACGGGGAGGGACGGCAUAGGAAGAAAGGCGCCCUCAUGCUGGGAUGUCCCCUCUCCAGCUGGGAGGUCAGCAGGGACCGAACAGGAGCUUCCAAGGCUCAGAGGAGAAAGUGGCAACUGAUUGGCAGACAGAACUAAGGGAAACAGACACUGAGGGUCCCUGUGAGCCCCAGCCCUAGACAUGAGCCAGCAGGGACUGGCUGCUGGAGAUCAGUGAUGAGCCGGGGAGAGGCUGGGGCCUACUGCGUGGAGGCAGCCUCAGAGGACUGGAGGGCGGUGUGAGCACUGGCUGGGGGUGUGCGCAGAACAGAACAGCCUGGGAUCCUCCCAUAAAAGAGCACCACUGCUGGUGUGUGUUGGCGGGGAGGGGCGCAGAGCAGCCAGGCCAUAACUGCUGUCUCCACUUGGCUCCAUUGCUGGUGUGUUCUCAUGAGAAGAAAGGUGGGGCUGGGUCAUAGCCAUCGCUGCUGAGAGGAAGCGGGGCUGAAAGCUGAGUCCAUCCCCAGGGGCCCUGCAAAUUCACCAGGCGGAACUGAGAUUUGUUUACAGCCUAAGGCAGAGCAAGUGGAUUUGCUCUCUUUGGACCCUUUGUGAACCUGCACCCCUAGGAUGAAGAGGCAGUGAGCAGAGUUCUAACGCAGGGUGGAGGUUUACGGAUAUUUACAACAAGCCAGUGUACCUUAUGUACGUGGAGGCAGGGCUGGGGUCUGCACUGAACCUGUGGUGCACCACAGAUUCAGAUGUGUGACUGCAUGCUUGCUAUGGUGGGUUCUAGUGCCGGACAUUGGUGGAUCUGCACUGGUGGUUCCUGGGAUUCAGAACCUACGGGACACCAGAGCAGGUGGCUGACAUUACCACAGCUUAGGCAAGAACAAAGGCAGUGUCAACAAAUAAUACUUUGUAAGCCUGCAUAACAAUGACAGACAACACCACAGAGGGCACAUCUCAGUGGACAUCUGCCUACUCUUCUUCUCAGCUGAAGCCUGCAUACUACACACCACAGCUCAGAAACAGGUUUAGAAGCCUCUGUUCCAGGGGAGCAGAUGAGGACCCUGUCAAGGCUGUGACAACCACAGCACAAAAAAGGAGGCCUCACCCAAUAAUAACAAUCAGGGAAGGCUCUGAUCACAACAACACCAACCACAUUCCCAGUCAAAGGGAUAACAGCCAAUACACAUGGAGGAAAGAAGAGGCAACCAUCCAUACUAAGAGCAGCCAUUGCAACAAAACCAUUAGAUGGACACAGUUUACACAAGAAUGCUCCCACUUUAAAUAAAAACAAACAAACAAAAAAUAAAAAAGCCCUUCAAGACCACAGUAGAUAAUUGAUACUCCUAAAUUCAUAGAGCCAGAGAAAUAUAAGUAAAAUGAAGAAGCAGAAGAACCACUCCCAAUUAAAAGAACAAGAGAAGUCCCUUGAAAGACUGAACAAUGAGAUAUCUACUAGCUCAUGACUUCAAAAGGGAAUGAUAAAAGCACUGAAGGAACUAAGAGAGAUUAUGAAUAGAAACAAAGAAUACUAUGAAAAGGAAAUUGAAACUAUAAAGAAGAGCCAAUUAAAAACAGAAAACUCAAUUUUUUAGAUAAGAGCCAAGCUAAAGGCAGUGAAAAGCAGACUAGAUAAUGCAGAGGAAUGAAUAAGUGACUUAGAAGACAGAAUAACAGAAGUCAUCCAAUCAGAACGGCAGACAGAAAAGCAAGUAAAAAUCUAUGAAAGCAAUAUAAAGGACCUAUGGGAUAAUAUAAAGCAUGCCAAUCUACACACAAUAGGGGUCCAGAAGGAGAAGAAAGAGAAAAGGAGAUUGAAAAGGGAUUCGAGGAAAUCAUGACUGAAAACUUUCCAGACCUAAAGAAGGAAUUAGAUAUCUAAGUACAGGAGGCACAGAGCAUUCCAAACAAGAACUCAAACAGAUCUACACCAAGACAUAUUAUAAUUAAGAUGGCCAAAGUUAAAGGAAUAAUUCUAAAGACAGCAGGAGAAAAGCAAAGAGUUAGUUACAAGGGAACCCCCAUAAGACUUUUGGCUGAUUUCUCUGCCCAAACACUGCUGGCCACAAGGGAGUGGCAAGAUAUAGGUUCAAAGUCCUGAAUGAGAAAAGGCUGCAA